GAAAUCAGUCAUCCUGUUGGUGCCAUGUCUCUCUAAAUAUGGAAGUAAAUGCAGGCUUUGUCCACUUGGUGGCUAUGUUGUGCCCGUCUACCCCAAACAGCUGGAAAGUAACAAGCUUAUCUCUCGUUGUAGUGUCCUGCACAACCUAUCAGGGUGUUAACUGUGUGCCAUGAUGGAGCAUUCCCAAGACCUGAACACUGCGAGAUUGUCAUUCUUUUAACCUUUUUUGAGAAAGGGGAAAACUGC